CGCCUGUUUAACAAAAACAUGUCUUAUUGAAAAUAAUAUUAAGUCAAAUCUGCCCAUUGAUAAUUUUAAAAGGCUGCAGUAUAAAUAACUGUACAAAGGUAGCAUAAUUAUUAGUUUUAUAAUUGAAAUCUAGUAUUAAAGAUUUAAUGAAAUAUAUACUAUAUAAAUAAAAAUAAAAAUUAAAAUUAAAAUUUAAGUUAAAAUUCUUAAAUAUAAUUAAA
rnacentral:rRNA from 1 species